GCCGAAGUGGCGGAACUGGCAGACGCGCGCGACUCAAAAUCGCGUUCCUUCGGGAAUGUGGGUUCGAGUCCCACCUUCGGCACCA
rnacentral:tRNA from 1 species